ACCCAGAAAUCUCCUCCUGAUGUUGAUCAAGCACGAGGGGAUCAAUCGCAUGGCGUCCUGGGGAAAUUAUGUGGCCUGGUAGGACCAUGAGGGCCGGACCAUCUCCACCACCAUGUGUGUUGAUGCUUCCGCGUGCCUCGGCAAGCUCCGCGAUCAGAUCCUUGUCGGACGCACUUCCUUCGCCGACGUCACGGCACAGGACUCUGAUGGCUCCUCCACCUACCGCAGCGGCGACCCAGGUACGCCAUCAGUCGCCCGGGCCGCUGCCCCGCCGCCUUUCAGAUAGGGUCUUGGAUUUUGGUGCGCCACUGCUAGGAUUUGGGGUUUACUCCUGGUGAUUCAGUCGGUUGUUGGUUCCUCUCGAGGUAUAGCGGAUGCGUGCGUUCGUUUCUUGGUUGCUAUUUGCAGAUUCAGUACAUAACAAGUGAAGCAACAUAUAUUGUGAUGAGAAAUAUAUGAUCCUGAUUUUUGGUCACUGCCAAAUCGACGACGCUGAUUUCUCUUGUAUGUCCGCCUCCUUGGUAGUGUCGUUUUUGUAGUUACAAUAUGAAGAUGAUUUGGAUGCUCAUGUUCAAGUUUGCAUCCUUGGGUGAGUUUUGGUUCUUCUCAACAUGAGAUAACUUUUUAUUUUCUUUCAUUCUUAUUUUUUAGCUCAUAUUCUGUCUAGCUAGCAUAGGAUCCAUGGAAGAUAUCCACUUGUGGGAAGACAAAUAGCUUGUUGGAAAGCAUGCUCGCUGACGGUGGCAUCCAGGACGACGAUGCGCUCGGGGACAACAACUACCACCUGCACGAAGGCAUUCCUGCGGAGGGCAGCGUCCAGCAGGGCGACGUCGUCCGCCUAUAUGAUGGCGUGCCCACGGAGGACUGUGUCCACCAAGACAGCGAGUUGUUGUACAGACGCCACAUCCUCGGCCAUGCCGUUCAGGAGGUUUGCUGCCUUGCACAGCCGACGAUGGUGACUAUGUGGCGCAUACAGAUGGCCAACAUGCGCGCAGACGAUGGCCACGGCAUGGCGCAGGCCAAUGUCCAGCACUCGCACGCCUCGCGAAGUCGAGGAAUCUACGGACUCCGCCAGGUUCCCGUGGAUGACGACCACGUCAUUGUCAUUGUUGUUAUGGAGGACGAUCACCAUGAGCAGGCCAGCGAUGGCGAGACGUAUUGCACGCGGGCAGCCAGCAUGCGGGUGCCAAUGAUGGCCACUGCAUGGCGCAAGUCGACAGCCACCACCACUUGCACACAGGCGUCCACUACUUGCGCCGCUGCUCUUGUUGGCCUUCUCUGCGUUGUGUACUCUUUCCUUCUUAAUAUACUUGCAUGCAAUUCUCCUGCAUGUUCUCAGAAAAAAUGAAAAAAAUUAAGUAAAAUUGAAGCAAUUAUUUUUAGCUGAAAUUUCUUAUCUAUAUGCAAACUAAUUGUCUGUUUUUAGUACUCUCGCAGGACAUCAAAGAACAGUUGUUGCAGACUUUGGAUAUUGAUUAACUCAUUUUUGUUGUUUCUAAGCUUCCUUGAUUUUUCUAAUAUCUAUUUUGAUGUUUCUCUUGGCAGCAAGUAUCAAUUUAAUGCUUGAGAAGACUCGGACUCUGAAAAUUUUAAGUGUGGGAGAUUGUGCUUUCAAAGUUAUUGGUAAAGGUACUUGUGAUGUUGAUUGCCACUAUACAACUAGCCAGGCAGCUUGAUAGGUGACUAGAGAAAAAUGAGUGAAUAGGAGAAGAUAUAUGAAGCAAUGCAAUGAAAGCCGAACCCCGAGCGUGGGUGUGUUGUUAGGCCACUGAUUGUAAGUGACAUUGUAAACUAUAAUAAAUUGUUGUUUUUCAUAGA